GAUGAACGCUAGCUACAGGCUUAACACAUGCAAGUCGAGGGGUAACGAGAGGGAAGCUUGCUUUCCUUGUCGACGACCGGCGCACGGGUGAGUAACGCGUAUCCAACCUGCCCCCAACUAGGGAAUAACCUUGCGAAAGUAAGACUAAUACCCUAUAAUUUCCUCAGAUGUCAUCUGACGAGGAAUAAAGAUUUAUCGGUUGUGGAUGGGGAUGCGUCUGGUUAGCUUGUUGACGGGGUAACGGCCCACCAAGGCAACGAUCAGGAGGGGUUCUGAGAGGAAGGUCCCCCACAUUGGAACUGGGACACGGUCCAAACUCCUACGGGAGGCAGCAGUGAGGAAUAUUGGUCAAUGGGCGGAAGCCUGAACCAGCCAAGUAGCGUGCAGGAUGACGGCCCUAUGGGUUGUAAACUGCUUUUAUACAGGAAUAAAGUUAGCCACGUGUGGUUAUUUGUAGGUACUGUAUGAAUAAGGACCGGCUAAUUCCGUGCCAGCCGCCGCGGUAA
rnacentral:rRNA from 1 species